rnacentral:ribozyme from 1 species
AGUCCGGACUCCGAAGAGUAGCGGUGCCGGGUAACGCCCGGGCGGGGUAACUCGACGGAUAGCGCCACAGAAACAAACCGCCAUGCCGCGGGGGCCUUCGGGCAACCGUAUCCGGUUUGGUAAGGGUGAAACGGUGGGGUAAGAGCCCACCGCGCCGCUGGCAACAGGGGUGGCAAGGCAAGCCCCACCGGGAGCAAUGCCAAAUAGGGUCCCCGUG